rnacentral:lncRNA from 1 species
UCCCUGCCUACCUGAGGCCUUCCAAAAGAGAGAAGGCAAGAUGAUGAUGAUGUAUUCUCACCUGAUGGACCCUGCUGAGACAGUGAUUUUGGCCACGAGGGAGACAUUGCAGGCCCCUGUUUGGAGCCAGCAUCCUGCAGCUGCUGGCCUCAGCUUCCUCUCUGAACAUACCCCCCAGUUAGCAGAAAGCCGAAGGUGCAGGGAGGCUAAGGAGUGAAGCAAGUGAGCAACCAGUCUUAAUGACAGAGAGAGUGUGUAACCAGAGCUUCACAGCCUUUGGAGAUGGAUGGUCCUGUUAAUAAGAAGGGUGAG